rnacentral:rRNA from 1 species
CCCCUACGGGAGGCAGCAGUGAGGAAUAUUGGUCAAUGGACGGAAGUCUGAACCAGCCAAGUAGCGUGCAGGAUGACGGCCCUCCGGGUUGUAAACUGCUUUUAGUUGGGAAUAAAAAGAGGACGUGUCCUCUAUUGUAUGUACCUUCAGAAAAGGACCGGCUAAUUCCGUGCCAGCAGCCGCGGUAAUGGG